rnacentral:lncRNA from 1 species
CCGGCCAAAGCAAGAACAAAGGAAGAAAAGAAAGAACAAAAACCCUAGAGUGAAAAUUCAAGAGAAAAUUGGUGGAUUUCAAGUAAUCAAGCAAUCAAAGGUAAAAUUUCUUGAUUUUGACUUGUGAUCUACCUUUCUCAUACAUUCUUUUGCAUUUUCCAUGGUUGAAUCACAUGAUUUCAUGAUGAAUCCCUUGCUGGCCAAACACUUAGAGGGAGGUUUUGAUGCUUGAUUUUGUUAGAUUUCAAUGUAUUUU